AUGCCCUGCGCUCGAUGCCACAAGGAUUCACGCACAUCAUUGUGUAUGUUAGAUAUUUGCCGCGUGAGCUCGCACUCACCGCGCACACAAAUGGGGCGCGCCACCGCCUGCCUGGCCGCCCUGCUGCUCGCCGUCACCUUUCUGCUUGCCUCUGCCGGCACGGAGUCGCUCACCGCCGUGCAGACGGACCAGGCGGCCACUGAGAGCGGGUCCACCCUGCCGGCGCACUGCUGCAAAGACGAGGAGGAAGCAGUGGUCGGGCCAGCCCCGCCUGUCGGCGGUGUUGCGGACUUGGUAUCUGCGGCGGAGCAUGGCCAGAAGCCUCACUCCCACGAGAGUACCGAAAGGAAGAUCCACCACCACCACCACGACGAUGAUGAUGAUGAUGACGACGACGACGACGACUACGAUUACGAUGACGACGACGACGGCGAUGAUGAUGAUGACAACAACGAGGAUGACGACGACGACUAUGAUGAUGAUGGUGGUGGCGACGACGACGGCGGCGACAACGGCCGGUCCCACUCGGGCCACGAUUCCGACUCGGGUUCUGGUCGUGAUGACGAUGAUGACAACUCAAAGGGCAGGAAGAAGAAGCCCUCAGCUCCAGAGAAGAAGGGAGUCCCGGGAGGUAACCGGUAA
rnacentral:rRNA from 1 species